CCGGCUCCGGUUCACCUCGCGACCGUUCGCGGGGAUCCGGCGGCC
rfam:Saccharomonospora xinjiangensis XJ-54 genomic scaffold Sacxiscaffold_2, whole genome shotgun sequence.